CGUUGUCAUUUGGAAAUGAGAUCGCACAUAAGUAUGAAUCGAGAUCGCGAUUUUCUAACGAUUAAUCGUGCAGCCCUACCGCUUAGCGUUAGCAUGCUGUGCUUGCGGAAUGUUGAAGUUGUGUUAACAGUAUAAGGCAGUUGUGUCUGUCCCAGUUUCCACUUUACCAUUGCGCUCUCAUCCUUUUAUACAAUAAAAAAUAAAAUAAAAGUCCAUAUUCACGUCAUAAACUGCACUACUGUUUUCCUCCUCUUACACAUAAACUAAAUCAGCUGAAUGUAGCAAGAGUGCAAGAACGGAUAAGCAGGGUCGAUAGGCAGGCAGACUAACGAUUUGAAGGAAGUAGACUACUGGGAACCAGUUCUUGACAAGAACCAGUUCUCGAUUCCCAUCCCUAAAUAGCACAGAGCGGUACACUAGAUUCACACCUACUUAUAAAAAUGUGGAAGAUGGUGUGCUUGCAAAGGCCACUGUACUUUACCUCUUCCUGGAGCUGCACAGAGUCCAAACAUGUUCCAGGGUUGAGGAAACUUUUAUUUUUCUUCUGUUUUGUUUUUCAACCCAGUGUCACAUUUGGUGAAAAAUCCGGACUGCAAUAUUGCCUAAAGCUCUCUGUGCUGUACAGGCCACAGCGCUCAUACUUUUUAUGUUAGUACCAAAUGUGCUUAAAAAUCCUAGAGCUACUUUUAAGUCUGAGAACUCAAUGUGAUGCGCUUCCCUUUGAUUUUUUUUUUUUUAAAGCAUUUCCACAUUAUGUUUUUGUUGGUACACUAUGAUCUUGUUGAGACUUAAUGAUAACCCUUUAACUGUCGUUUUUAAACAUACAACAUCAGAGUUUUGUUGCCUUAUCAGUUUCUCCCUGUGGGAGUCCUUUAUAUUCUUUUCCCUUCAUUCCACCUCUCUUUUCUCUAACCUUUUGGACUAUGUUCAGCUGCUGCUGUUGAUAAGAAUGCUCACUGGUAGGCUGUGUCUUGUCCUUUUUUGUUUUUUGUUUUCUUCCCUUUUCUUUCAAUAUAAGUGUCCAGUCCAAUCACUACCAGAUACAGCCAUUGUUCUGCUUUAUUGCUAAGCUUGAACCAGAGUGGUUCUGACAACUGUCAAACCUUACAUAUCCCCCAAAAAUCACUUUUUAGCAGUUGUUUGAAACUGUCUUAACGCCACUGAAAAGCUGCACUAUGUAAUCCAUUGUCAACGUCCUUGCCCAUAUUUCCACUACUACCUGCCUUUAAGAAAUCAAUGGUAGUUUGUCUUGGUACAAAAAGACAGAGAUAACACUAACAUCAGUUUCCCUUUGUGUGAAGUUUGCUUAGUCAUUCAUGUAGACUUUCCCAAACUUCUUUUGAAUGUCCAUCUUUGCCUGUUGGUCAGAAAUAUUCAUUACAACAAAAGCCCGAUGAUUCUCACUUCAUUCAAAAAAUAAAAGAAGAAGAAAUCAUUAAGGACAGCCUUUCUUAGCUACUCAGGAUGAGUGAUGUGCCUGUGACUAUGAACUGUUGCUGUCUUGACUCCACAUUUGAUUCCACCAGGUUGACUCAAGAAUGUGACUCAGAUCGAGUAACCUAAGACACAAUGGAUCAUGGAGACUGAGGAACAAAACAAAAAAGUCUGUCACUCCACUCUGUCUGCACAUACUGCAGUGUGCGCGAUCAACUCAGUCAUGCGCUCUCUCACAAGUCUGGGCCGAUGCCUAAGUUCUAAACAGAGCACCCUGUGUGUCAGGAAAACUAUAUCCUCACACACAAAGAGAAGGAGAGAAUGAACAGUAAAUAUUCAAACUACACAAAACGUUGUUCAACAGAAAAACGGAUCGAUAAAGAGUUGAAGCUCUCCGUGCCAAGUGACUCCUCGUAAAUGGGUACUUAAACUUUUUCUCUUUUCCCCCCCUCCCUCCUUUUGGUGGGGUGAGAUGAGGAGCCAAACGGACUUGGUGUUUAAAGUGAGAAAAUGAAAGCUGUGGUUCCUAAUGUCCUGUCUAAGUGGAUGUCUCUAUGUGUGAUGAAGCGUGAAGUGCUCUGUAACCCUAACAAAAUGACUAUCACUGUGUUCCUGUGCUUUUAAAUGGCCUCCUCACUGUCACUAUCUCUGCCUCCAUCCUCCUCAGUAUGAAAUGGGAAGGCAAAAUGGAGGACAUCCAUAAAUAGAGUAAUUGCAUGAAGGGCAGGUGUUUAUUGUACCCUCAGCCCUCACACACUCUAUAAUGAUCCAAAAAGGUCAAAUUGUUAAUGGUGCUCGAACUUCAUAUUUUCCUCUGUCCAUACUGAAUAUUGUAUAAAGUUAGAUUAUGUGUAGUCUGUUUAAUCUUCUAUGAUAGUUCACACCUCAAAACACAAAAAUGCUCAAACUGCAAAUUUAUCCAUGUGCUUGCCACAACGAUGGAUACGUAAUCUUUUUUUAUAUAACUUCAUUAAAUCACAAUGGACUCCUGCUAGUGAUCAACAAGUGUGAGUUUCGAAGUCAACACAAAUCUGUUGGGGUGAAAAACUGUAGCUUAUUGUGUUGAAAACGUAUGUGACUCGGACUGCAGCGGGUUUCUUUCAGGAUUUCUCAGGAGUUUUGCUGCAUUCAAUUUACCCUCUACCGUCACAAGCUGCUGCAGCGAAGCCUCCACACAGCAUGACGCAGCCACCAUCACACUUAUGGGGAUAAUGUUUUGUAGUGGUGAGGAGUUACUGACUUGUGAAAGCAGUGGGCAGAAUUCAUAAAAUAAGCCUAAUUCCACGUGAAUCCUCCACUUUUGUAAUGCCAGCUUCCUCUAUAGUAGCCCGCUGGUUUUAUAGGUAGUGUUUCCAUGUCAGCUUUAGGAUUGUGUAGACCUCCUGUAGACAUCUUGGUGCUCUUCUUCAUUAAAUGUUGCACAAGUACAGUGUGCUCUAUAGAGAUGAGCAAUUUUUUUCAUGAUAUUAAACUGAUGAGUCAUGUAACUUAGCUUUUCUCUAAGUAAUACUUUAGAGUGACAAAUCACUCAAGUGUUUGUAAUGCAUUUAUAGUACUAGCCCAACUUUUUUUUUUUAAAAUAUUAAAUGAACAUAUAAAGGGAAUGAAUAGUUUUUACAGAUGUUUUACAUUCUGUGAUGAUGAUCUUUGGUGCAACAGUUUUUCUAUGUGUCUGGCUUCUGUAUUGCCAAUGAAUUUACCACAAAAGUUAUUUUAGUCUAACAUAAUUUAUUGAAACAUUGUAACACAGACAUGAUUUAAUAAACAAAACUUGAACUAUAAUCGAAGGUUUCUUUAAAAAAAUCUUGACAUUUUAUAUUUUUGUACCAUAAAUCCCUUUUGAAGAAAACAUUCUUCCUUCAUUCAAAUGAUUUUCAUGUAAAAACUACACAUUUUAAACAUGGCUUAAAAUGUGUUGAUUUAGUGUCCCCUUCUAACAAGUCGUCUGUUUUUAUAGUAAUCUAAUUACAGACUUGUGGGGCAUGAAUGCAAAGCCACUGUUUGCUUAUUGCUCUUCUACAAAUGUUAAGAGAUGCAAAAUCAAUGGUUUAAUUCAACAUUUGCAUUUCUAAUGUUGGCAUUUUCCAAACUUUAUCCCUCUUGAGUCUCGCGCCAUUCCCUAUAGCCCCAAACAAAACAUGGCUGCAAGAGGGGUGGAUGUGACUCUCAAGUCAAAACGUGUGUUAAAGUGUACACUAAUCCUCUGGUACAUACAUGAAGAAGAGUUCAAGACAGUCUCGUAAUCAUGCUUACCUUAUACUCUGGGUUUUUGUCAGAGGCAAGCGUGAGUUUAUUAGAAGUACCUCUGGGUCCAUUUCAUUCAAACAUUUGUGAUGUGACCAUGUGCUGCUUAUUCCUUCAAAAUUAAGUAUUUCAUGUUGUAGCAUUUAAAGCUAAUUUGAUUUCUUUUUCCUUUGAGCCAUUUUGUUUAUUUUUAGUCACAGUGCUCCUUUGUAAGUUUUUUUUUUUUUUUUUUUUCUUCCUUAUUUGCUUCAUAAAAUGUCAUCAUGCAUUCAGAUGCAAAUAUGAAAAAGCAGCUUCUGCACAUGAAUUCAGUGAGACUCUUAAUGCGAAUGUUUCUGGAAGAAAUGUUGCUGGUAAAUACUGUUUACAUCUGCUAAAGGGGUUUGAAUGGGAGAAAUGGAUUUUUGUUGCAGCAAAAGUCGUCAGAAGCUGAUUUCCCACUUGGAGCUCUGGAUUAAUGACAUGGGAGAUGAUCUCAGCGUUGCUCUUGCUCAGUACAGUAUGUAUCCUCUAAUCUUUCUCGCUGUGCUGUUGCAUGACCACCAAUCCUGUUACUACGGAACUCCAGACGCUAUCUAUUCUCAGCCUUACCCAUUUUGAUCUGAAUGAAUCUGCCCUUUAUAAACACCUGUCAGGAACAAAAGCCACUCCCGGGCUUGUCACUGCUGAGUUGUUUUUGUUACCCCCGCUGCGAUAUUUGCUCAGGGUGCCAAGUUCAUUUAAUCAUAUUCAGUAUACAAACGCUACAGCCGUGAUUUAUGAGGACCAUGCUGGCUGUCGUACAGAAAAUUCUCAUGCACCAGCGUCUUCUGAUUCAGUCAUGUUGCUAAAAACCAUAAGUACCUAAAAAGGAAUUGUCCAUCCAAAAAAAGAAAAGGGAUCUACACAGCCGGAUGAGCUAAAGACGAUUUCUCUCAGUGCUCUGAAUAUCUUUCACUGAAACAGACGAGAGGGGCUUGUAGCUGUAUUGAGCACAAAAGUUCACAUGGGUUGGUCUAAGUCCAUUGCCCUUCGUAAAUAAUUUGCCCUGUUCCACCACCGUAUUCACUUACUUUGUCAUGAUUUGGUAAAAUCAAAUAUUUAAGUCCAGUUAGUACUCCUACAAUCUCUUUUUGCUUGAUGUCUUGCACAAAGUUGAAUGAGCCAUCUUUUAACAUUGUUUUCAUGUUUGUUUCUUUCUCUCCCCCGUCUUUGUUUCAACUUCAUCACCCCUCCUUUUCUGUCAUGGGCCUAUCCAUUCUUUUCUCUCUUUUUUUUUUUUUUUUUUU